rnacentral:lncRNA from 1 species
GUCAGUUUAAACAUGGUGGUCUGAUCUUUUACGUGCUUAACAGUUUGCAUAAACACAUUCAUAAGUAUAUAGGGGUCUCAAACUAUCCUAUACCCCAACAAACAUCACAUAGCAACACAAUAAUCAUGCAUUUCAUACUUAACCCAUAAAAACCCUAACAUUUUUACAACUAACCUAAACCUGCAUUUCUACCCCAUAGACCUUCAUAAAACUUGUUUAAAAUAUCGAAGGAGGCGAUGAUCGACGCUUAUCUCUUGAAGAUCGAGAGAAAACGUGACCCAACUUGGAGAUUUGGGGAAAACAGGUUCCGGAGGUCUCCAAGCUUCCCAACUUCGAUCUUUGCUCAAAAACUUCAAAACCAAGUUAAAACUUGUUAGAAACUUGUAGGAUUUGAAGGAAAACCUCAAAAUCAACCAUGGAAGGGUAUGAACUCACCUUGUCCUGAAAAUGGAGGAGAAAACUCGCCCAUUUUCGAACAUGGGGCUUUUUAUAGGUGGCUGGCCAGACCACCUUCGGAAGCCAAAGGUGACUCCAAAACUCCACCAAGUUCGGCGGCCGAACCUGGAUUUUCCUCCAUGAUGUUUUUCUUUCAAAACUCGAUUUCUUUCAUACUUAAAACCUUGAAAACAUGUAAAAACAUUUUAGAAAAACAUAUUCUUACCCUUCUAGAGAGUUUCGACAUCCGAGAUGCCGCCAGACAGUAGGAAUUCCGGUGCCGGAGUCUAGCCGGGUAUUACAUUCUCUUCCCCUUAAGAACAUUCGUCCCCGAAUGUUCACCAAACAAGUAUAGCAAGGCAUAACACACAUAAACACAUAAAAACACAUAGAUACUAACCUUAAAAGAGAUGAGGGUAUUGCUGGAGCAUAGACUCCCGUGUCUCCCAGGUACAUUCUUCUAUGUUGUGGUGAUUUCAAAGGACUUUCACCAUCGGGAUUUUCUUGUUCCUCAGCUUUCUGAUCUGCGUGUCUAGGAUCCACACUGGCUGCUCAACGUAGGUGAGAUCUCCUAGGAUCUCCACAUCAGCCUCAUUAAGAACCUUGCCCUGAUCUAACACGAACUUUCGUAAUAUGGAAACAUGGAAAAUCGAAUGGAUUCUUUCCAUUAAAGCAGGUAAGUCCAACUUGUACGAUACAUUCCCGAUCUUUUGCAAGAUUUCAAAGGGUCUGAUGUACCGUGGAGCUAGCUUACCUUUCUUCCCAAAGCGAAUCACCCCUUUCAUAGGAGACACCUUGAGCAACACCAAAUCUCCCUCCUGAAACUCCACAUGCUUCCUGCGGACAUCUGCAUAACUCUUUUGCCUGCUCACAGCAAUCUUGAUCCUUUCUCUGAUAAUUGGUACUACUCUGCUGGUGAUCUCUACUAGCUCAGGCCCUGCCAAGGCCCUUUCUCCAACUUCCUCCCAGCAAACAGGCGACAUGCACUUCCUUCCAUAAAGAGCUUCAUAAGGAGCCAUCUCGAUGCUAGCAUGAUAGCUGUUAUUGUAGGCAAACUUUACCAAAGGUAGGUGCUGCCUCCAAGAACCGCCAAAAUCUAGCACACACAUCCUGAGCAUAUCUUCAAUUGUCUGGAUGAUCCUCUCCGACUGUCCAUCAGUCUGUGGAUGGAAAGCAGUGCUAAAAUCCAGCCUGGUACCUAUAGCAUUCUACAGACUCCGCCAAAACCUGGAGGUGAACUAGGGGCCUCUAUCAGACACUAUUGAAACAGGAGCCCCAUGCAGCCUAACCACUUCAUCAACAAAUACCUGCGCCAAUUUGUCCACAGAAUAGCCACUCUUAACAGGGAUGAAGUGAGCAGAUUUAGUCAGUCUGUCCACAAUCACCCAUAUGGAGUCCAAUAUGUUGGAUGUUGCCGGUAACCCCACUACGAAAUCCAUAGCUAUAUUCUCCCAUUUCCACUCUGGAAUAGGCAGUGGGUUAAGCAUUCCAGCCGGCUUCUGAUGUUCCAGCUUCACCCUUUGACAUACUUCGCAGGCGGACACAAACUGUGCCACUUCUUUCUUCAUAGCUGGCCACCAAUAAACUCUCUUCAGAUCUUGAUACAUCUUGGUGGCUCCAGGGUGAACACUGUAUUUAGCAUUAUGAGCUUCCCUCAUAAUGUCGCCUUUCAGAAUUACGUCAUCUGGUACACACAACCUGUUCCCAUAGCGGAGGAUCCCCUUGCUGUCAAAUCUAAACUCAUCAUUCUUGCCUGACUGAACAGUCCUGGCAAUUUUCACUAACUCUGGGUCCUCAUAUUGUUUCUGAGCCACCUGCUCCAGAAACACGGGUGUUACUCUCAUCUAAGCUAUCAAAGCACCUGUACCAGACAACUCCACUGCAGCCCUUCAUUAAUGAGCUUAUAAAACUCCCUCACCACUGGUCUCCUCUCUGCUGUAAUAUGGGAUAGACUGCCAAGUGAUUUCCGGCUUAAGGCAUCUGCCACAGCAUUUGCCUUACCCGGAUGGUAUUGAAUUUUGCAAUCAUAGUCACUAAACAGUUCUACCCAUCUCCUCUUCCUCAGAUUCAACUCUCUCUGACUCAAGAUGUACUGCAAGCUUUUAUGAUCUGUGAAGAUCUCACAUUUAACCCCAUAAAGGUAAUGCCUCCAUAUCUUGAGUGCAAAGAUUACAGCUGCCAUCUCUAAGUCAUGUGUAGGGUAAUUCAACUCAUGCUUCUUCAGCUGUCUAGAAGCAUAAGCAAUUACCAUUUCAUUUUGCAUCAACACACAGUCUAGUCCCACACGGGAUGCAUCACAAAACACUGUGAAGUCUUCAUUGCUGGUAGGCAGAGCUAACACCGGUGCUGACGUCAACCUUCUCUUCAGCUCUUCAAAGCUUUCCUCGCACUGAUCAGACCACAUAAACUUCUGAUUCUUUUUGGUCAGCCUGGUCAUAGGAGCAGCAAUUUUAGAGAAGUCCUGAACGAACCUCCUGUAGUAACCUGCCAAACCCAAGAAGCUCUUGAUCUCUGUUACUGUAGUGGGUCUGGGCCAGUUAGCUACAGCUUCUACCUUCUUGGGGUCCACUUCAAUUCCGUUUUCUGACACAACAUGCCCCAAGAAUGAGAUGCUCCUCAACCACAAUGCACACUUGGAGAACUUGGCAUACAAGCUGUGCUCUCUCAGGGUCUACAGAACUAUCCUCAGAUGAUGGGCAUGCUCCUCAGCAUUUCUGGAAUACACUAGGAUAUCAUCAAUGAAGACAAUAACAAAGUGAUCCAGGUACUGGCUAAACACUCUGUUCAUGAGAUCCAUGAAUGCUGCAGGGGCAUUGGUCAGCCCAAACGGCAUUACUAGGAACUCAUAAUGCCCAUAACUGGUCCUGAACUCAUAAUGCCCAAACGGCGGUAGUCCUGGAAGCUCGUCUGGGAAGACAUUUAAGAACUCUCUGACCAUGGGUAUUGAGGCGGGCUCCCUAACCUGACCAUCCAGCUCUCUCACAUGAGCUAGAAACCCCUGACAACCUCUCCUAAGUAACCGACGAGCCUGUAGGGCUGAUAUCAAACCUCUAGGCGUACCCCUCCUGUCUCCUCUGAAAACAACUUCUGACCCAUCCUGAUCUUUGAACCUGACUACUUUGUCUCUGCAGUCCAAGGUAGCACCAUGAGCGGAUAGCCAAUCCAUCUCUAGAAUGACAUCAAAAUCCGUCAAGUCUAGAACCACAAGGUCGGCUGGAAGGCAUCUACUCUCAACAAACACUGGACUAAAGCGGAAGACUGAUUCUACCACUGAUGGAUCACACUUGGGUCCACUGACCCAGAGGGGACACUCUAACCCAGAGAUUAUCAAACCCAACCUCUCAACGGCUCUCGGAGCAAUAAAAGAAUAAGAUGCAUCGGGGUCCAUUAAAGCAUACACAUCUGAGCAACCAAUGAUGAGAUUACUUGACACCACAGUGUUGGAUGUGUUCGCCUCCUGCUGUGUCAUAGUGAAGAUCUGAGUUGGAGCUAAUGGACCUUCACCUCGGGAACCUGCUGAAGAAGAGGCUGCCCCUCUCCCUCGGCCUCUGCCACUGCCUUGAGUCGCAGCUGGAGCUGCUGGCUGUGCCACACUGCCAGAAGCUGUCUGCUGGGACUGUGCCACGAAAGGUGCCCUAGGACACUCCCGUGCCAUGUGUCCCUCUUGCCCACAUCUGAAGUAGGCUGUAGUCCUAUACUGACACACUCCCUUGUGCAGCUUGCCACACCUUACACAUUCAGCACCAUCUGAACUCGAACUCGAGCCACCACCGAGUCCCAGAUCUGAUUUCAACCUGUUCUAGAACUUAUUCUUCUUAGGCUUCCUGGGGCCUCUGUCCCACUUUUUCUUCCCACCUGAAGCUGCUGCAUCCAAGGAAGAGGAGUCUAACCUUCCCCCACCGGGGGUCUUGGAACCCGAAGACUGUGCCACUGACUGCUUAACUUUUCCUUCGAUUAUUGCACUAGCCUCCAUCUUCCGGGCUAUAUCCACUAUAGCAUGGAAACUCUCCCUCUCUGCUGAUUGGAUCAAUGAGGAAUACCUGGAGUGAAGCUUCAUGACAUACCUCCUAGCCUUCUUCAGGUCUGUGUCAAAAGCUUGCCCUGCAAACGGCAACAGCUCCAGGAAUCUAUCAGUGAAUUCAUCCACACUCAUUUCCUCUGUCUGCCUUAGCUGUUCAAACUCAAUCAUCUUCAGCUCUCUGGAGCUAUCAGGGAAAGCACAUCCUGCAAAUUCAUUUGCAAACUCCUCCCAGGUCAAACUGUCCAAUCUCGGGUCCACAUAAUUUUUGAACCACUCACGGGCCUUUUUGCAUUUGAGCGUGAACCCUGCCAUCUGAAUGGCUCUACUGUCAUCUGCCCUUAACUCAUCUGUAAUCAUUUUCACUAUCUUCAGAUACUCAAAAGGAUAAUCUCCCAUCUUGAACUUGGGAGCAUCCAACUUCAAGUAAUCUGUCAUCUUAACUCUGCUCCCCCUAGAUGAGCUAGGUUUGGGUAUUUGGACUUUAGGAGCUACAGGUUCAGGGGGUGGUGGAGGAGGUGCAACAUUUCCUUGAUUAGGGUUUGUCACAUUUGGGUAGAAAGGUGAGGGUGGAUACAUUGGGUAUUGGGGGUAUGGUGGAUAGCAAGGUGGAUAAGGCAUGAAGGUAAGGUAGGGGUUAAAGCUGGAGUAAUCCGAUGUACCCCCAUCGGAUACCCUGGGCCCUGUGGAAAGGGUGGAUACUAGGGUGGAUAACCAAACCCCGAGGCUUGAGCGCCUCCCUGAGACUCCUCUGUACCCUCCUCAGACAUGCUCACAUCUAGAUUUCCAUCCCUUCUCUGAUCCUCAUCCAUCACUUCCCUCACAUUAGAAGACCCUCCUCCUAGAUCUGUUCCCCUUCUGCUAGUAUCAAAAGACCUUCUAGGGUCCCUUGACACCCUCUCUCUGCUUGAUCUACAUGACAUUGCCCUAAUAUGGGAGUUUUGCACUAACUGAACACAUAAAAACUCCCAUAUUAGAGCCCUCAUCAAAUGCUCUAGUUGAGUCAACAUAACAUAUGCUAAGCUUGGUUCAACAUAAUUUAACAUCAAAACAUUAACCAAAGAUCAUGUAUAACAGGGGAUUCUCAUACAUUUGGGCCAAGCACAAUACUAAUCCUCAAUACAUUAUUUUACACUAAUUUACAAUACAUCAUCUUGUAAUUCAUGUGCACGGCUAACUAUUACAAACAUAACUUCUACUCUUGAAGACUUCCUGGCCUAGCCCGUACCUGCAAACCUGGGGGUUAAGGGAACGGGGUGAGCUACUAGAGCCCAGUGAGCAAAAUAAUAUAAUAUUAAAUUUAAAAUAUAUGCUUUCAUGGAAUGCAUCACGUCACAAACAAAUCACAUCAAGGAUGGACUUGUCACUAAUAGUCCUCUACAUAAUCCAAUUAUGCCAGGGGCGUAGUGCAGGCCACACAUGGUCUUUCUCUUACCCAUAACAUAUCAUACAUAUCCAAAUCGUGCCGGGGGCGUAGUGCAGGCCACACCCAGACUUUCUCUUACACUGUGCCAAGGGCAUAGUGCAGGCCACACCUGGACUUCUAUAUCAUAUCAUAUCAUAUCUCAUCAUAUCGAGGACUAAUGGGUCAUCCAACAUCCAUCCACAUCAACAUCAUAAUAUGCAAUGCAACAUAAUCGUGGAUUCUAAUGCAAACAACAUAGUAAAUAACAUGGUAUUCAUGAUGCAUGAACAUGCUCAAAACUGAUUUAAUUUGAUACAUAAAGAUCCAUUCUACUCACCUCAGGCUGACUCUGAAGCAGCUAGCUCACUGCUGGGGUCCUCGAUUCCUCGGGUCUGAACCUACACAGGUGGACUCCAAAUGAGGAACCAAACAUACACUAACAUAACUCUAAACUACUCCCCAAAAAUCUCUUAAAACACCCUAAAAUAAUCAUAGAAAACAUGCAAAGGAAGGCUGAACAGGGCACUUUCGGCGGUAGGUUCGGCGGCCGAAAGUCCCUCCAGAGCCGAAACUCAGCCACUUUCGGCGGCACCUUCGAUGGCCGAAAGUCCCUUCCAAAGACGAAACUCAUGCACCUUCGACGGUCGAAACUCCCCUCCAGAGCCGAAAGUCCAACUUUCGGGGACAUGGUUCGGCAGCCAAAAGCUUGCCUCCACAGGCAGGUUUGGCGGCCGAAAGUGCCUUUGUAACGACCCGGAAACCGGACCGCUACCGGCGCUAGGAUCCAGAUCGGCUUAAGGCCGCCGGGAUCCGUAACAAGCCUAACAUACAUCCCGUGAACCUGUUUAAUCCCAUACAUGAUCAACAACAUACAUAAAAAUUUAAACUUUUCUUUUCCAUUCAUAAACCAAACUCAACCUGUGCAUGCACUAUACAUAGACAUUAACAUUAAACCCACCUUGGAGUCCUCAUCAAUGCUCCAAUGGGUGACAUAAACAUGCAUUAAGUUUGGUUAAACAUAAUCAUCCAUAAACAUUUAAGAUCAUGUAUCUAAAAAGGGAUUUACAACAUACUCUGGUCAAGCACACUUCUAAACCUCAAUAUCAUCAUUACAUUACAUAACUCAACAUUACAUUACAAUAUCCAUCAUGUCCACUACGAACUAUUACAUGACUAAGACUUUACUCUAUUCGACCUUCUGCUCUAUCCUGUACCUGCAAACCUGGGGUUAAGGGAGAGGGGUGAGCUAACAAGCCCAGUGAGUAGAAACAUAGAAAACAUAUUAACAAACAUGCUCAUAUGAAAUGCAUCAUUACUCAGACAAUUCACAUCAAGGGUUGGGUGAACUUGUCACCAAAUAGUCCCAGCAUCAUUUCGUGCCAGGCCGUAGCAUAGGGUCCUGGUCUUCCUGUCAUAUCAUACAUUACUUACCAUUGCCCCAGGGCCUCCUCUGGGCACCUGGUCUUCGAGUCCCAUAUCCGUGCCAGGACGUAGAAUGGGAUUCUGGUCUUUCAUUUCCGUGCCAUGCCGUAGAAUGGGGUCCUGGUCUUUCCUCAGGGACUAAUUGGGUCAUCCAACAUUCACCCACAUCAAUCACAAAGAAUGCGAUGCAACAUAUUCGUGAAAUCUAAUGCAAUCAUCCUAUUGCAUAAUCAUGAUGCAUGAAACAUGAUAAAAACAUUUAAUUUCUCAAUUUAAAAGAUUAAGUUUAGUUCCACUCACUUCUGGCUGAUUCUGACAAACACCGAAGCAGCUGAACUCACUGCUGGGGUCCUCGGUUCCUCGGGUCCGAAUCUACACAGGUGGACUCAAUGAGAGACCUAACAUACAUAAACAUAACUCUGAAAACAUCCCCUAAAAACCCCCUAAAACACCUCAAAACAUCCAUAGAAAAUAUGCAAAGGAAGGCUGCACAGGGCACUUUCGGCGGCAGGUUCGGCGGCCGAAAGUCCCUCCAGAGCCGAAAGUCAUGCAGGUUCGGCGGCACCUUCGGCGGCCGAAAGUGCCCUCCAGAGACGAAAGCCCAUUUUCGGGGGCAAGCUUCGGCAGCCGAAAGGCUUGCUUCACAGACAGGUUCGGCGGCCGAAAAUCCCUUCGGCUGCCGAACCUGGUUUCUUCCAAAAGGGCAGAAACUCGGCUCCAACAUGCACAAAUGCCUCCCAAACAUUCAAUCAUGCAUUUUCCUAUUCUACAACAUGCAUACUCAAGCAUACAAGCUCCUAGGGGCUUCAAACUAUCCUAAACCCAUCUACAACACAUCAAACAUCCACAUUGCUCAAAAAUAUACAUAAACCCUAUCAACAUUCAUAAGCUCUAACACAUGCAUUCUUCCCCAAGAAUCAACUUAAAACUUAUUUAAAACAUAAAAAGAGUUCAAGAUCGACCCUUACCUCUUGAAGAUCGAGAGGGGAGGCGACCUAAACUUGGAGAAUGGAGGGAGAGAGCUCCUGAGUCUUCCAAGCUUCAAAACUUGCUUUAUGCUCAAAAAUCUUCAAAACAAAGUUGCAAACUCAUAAAAAUCAUGAAGAAUGGAAGGAAGAAACUCAAAAUCGAUGAGGGACGGCGGAAAACUCACCUUGGCCGAAAACGGGGAGAAAAGCUCUCCCGUUCGGACAUGGGGACCCCUUUAUAGGUGGCUGGCCAGACCACUUUCGGGGGCCGAACGUGCCUCCGCAUGCAUGCCAUGUUCGGCAGCCGAACUUAAGGUUCGGCGGCCGAACCUGGACUUCCCUCACUUAUACCUUCGGGGGCCUAAAGCACUCCCGAAGCGCAUGCAUGUUCGGCGGCCGAACUUGGGAUUCAGCGGCUGAACCUGGGUCUUCCUCCAAGGCUAUUUUCAUUCAAAACUCAACUUCCUUUUUACUUAAAAUCAUAAAAUACAUCAAAACAUUUUAUAAAAAUAUGAUUUUACCCUUCUAGAGAUUUCCGACAUCCGAUAUUCCACCGGACGGUAGGAAUUCCGAUAUCGGAGUCUAGCCGGGUAUUACAGCCUUCGGCUGCCGAACCUGAGUUCUUCCAGAAGUGGCAGAACUCAGCCUUUACAUGCACAUUUUGCCUCCCAAACCUUCCAAACUCAAGCACAAUACUCCCAAACAUGCAUAAACACAUUCAUAAGCAUAUAAGGGUCUCACAUUAUCCUAUACCCCAACAAACAUCACAUAGCAACACAAUAAUCAUGCAUUUUAUACUUAACCCACAAAAACCCUAACAUUUUUACAACUAACCUAAACAUGCAUUUCUACUCUAUAGACCUUCAUAAAACUUGUUUAAAACAUCGAAAGAGGUGAGGAUCGACGCUUACCUCUUGAAGAUCGAGAGAAAACGUAACCCAACUUGGAGAUUUGGGGAAAACGGGUUCCGGAGGUCUCCAAGCUUCCCAACUUCAAUCUUUGCUCAAAAACUUCAAAACUAAGUUAAAACUUGUUAGAAACUUGUAGGAUUUGAAGGAAAACCUCAAAAUCAACCAUGGAAGGGUAUGAACUCACCUUUGCUCGAAAAUGGAGGAGAAAACUCGCCCAUUUUCGGACAUGGGGCCUUUUAUAGGUGGCUGGCCAGACCACCUUCGGAAGCCAAAGGUGACUCCAAAACUCCACCAAGUUCGGCGGCCGAACAUGAGGUUUGGCGGCCGAACCUGGAUUUUCCUACAUGGUGUUUUUCUUCCAAAACUCGAUUUCUUUCAUACUUAAAACCUUGAAAACAUGUAAAAACAUUUUAGAAAAACAUAUUCUUACCCUUCUAGAGAGUUUCGACAUCCGAGAUUCUGCCGGACGGUAGGAAUUCCGGUGCCGGAGUCUAUCCGGGUAUUACAGAGGGCAUAUUUUAUCCACUAUUAUGGGUAGAAAAAAAGGAUAACAUCCUCAUUGAUUGCAAUCUUAAUAGCAGCUCGGAAGUUCCAGCCAUUUUAUAAGAAAAACGAAAGAGAUUUAUGUCUCAGAGAAAUGGAAUAAGAGACUAGCUCUAAUCGAAAUGAACAGACAGGAUUCAAUAGAUUUUUCUAGCAACGGAAUCAAAUGAUGUGGCCGAAAAACAGAGUUGUGCUGUGAUUGACUAGACUUGCAAGAAAGAAAACGUGAGAUGGUGGGUACCUAUAGCAGCCACUCUAACGCUUAAGUCAAUAAGCUUGAAGAGAAGAGCGAGAGAAUAGAAUUGCUUAGAAGUGUAGAGUAGUUGUAUAAGAGAAUUGUAUACCUUUGCCUCUGAGAUUAUUUCCUUUUUAUACUAUAAGAAGGUGAGGAUAAAUAUAACAUUUCUUAAUAAUCCAGCGAUGAUAUGGCCUGCUGCUUGAUAAAAGAUCCCACCGAGUUAACUGGUUGAUGAUCCCGUGAUUACAUGGAUAAUGGAGAUCUGCUGGAUUAUAUCUACUGACGGUAACUUUAUACCGAGAUUCGACCUAUCCAAGAGAGGCUGAGUCUUGAUGAUGUACCGGGUGUUAAGGUCUCCAACUCUUUCUUUUCUUGGGUGGGACCGCAUUAUCCACUUUUCAGAUUUUUGCUACGUGGACCUAUUUUGUGGUAUAUGUGGACUACUCUCAUAUAGCAUAAGUUCUUCUAUGUAAUUUAAUUAAAUAAAUUAUAUUUUAAAAAUAAA